ACAAUUCAGGUUCGUACGAAGUUCGUUCUGAAGUGGGGUGGUUGGUGUAUUGUAUAGUUCUAGAGAUUGGAUUUCACUCAAAACCCACCAAAUGACUCCUCCCACAAUAUUAUGAUGUUCCCCAAGUUUUGGACUCAAUCCGAUAUCGAUCGGUUAACGAAAUUUGACAAUUCGGGUUCGUACGAAGUUCGUUCUGAAGUGGGGUGGUUG
rnacentral:lncRNA from 1 species